rnacentral:rRNA from 1 species
GGGUAAAGGCCUACCAAGGCGACGAUCCAUAGCUGGUCUGAGAGGAUGAUCAGCCACAUUGGGACUGAGACACGGCCCAAACUCCUACGGGAGGCAGCAGUGGGGAAUAUUGGACAAUGGGCGCAAGCCUGAUCCAGCCAUGCCGCGUGAGUGAUGAAGGCCCUAGGGUUGUAAAGCUCUUUCACCGGAGAAGAUAAUGACGGUAUCCGGAGAAGAAGCCCCGGCUAACUUCGUGCCAGCAGCCGCGGUAAUACGAAGGGGGCUAGCGUUGUUCGGAAUUACUGGGCGUAAAGCGCACGUAGGCGGAUCGAUCAGUCAGGGGUGAAAUCCCAGGGCUCAACCCUGGAACUGCCUUUGAUACUGUCGAUCUGGAGUAUGGAAGAGGUGAGUGGAAUUCCGAGUGUAGAGGUGAAAUUCGUAGAUAUUCGGAGGAACACCAGUGGCGAAGGCGGCUCACUGGUCCAUUACUGACGCUGAGGU